GAUAUAUAUAUACUAUAUAUUUUCCUGUCUUUAAAUAUUCUCCAUUAGCAGGCCUUUUAAUGGCUGAAAAGUGCUCAUGUUAAUUCCCAUUAUACAGAGAAUUUAGAACAGAGCUUCUCAGACCCUUCUAUUUUACAAACAGUAGUUAGCCAUCAGAUGCUUGAUAUGCAACAGUCUGAACCAUGCCAGACCCAUAGGAAGGAUUCCAGAAAUGCUUACUGAUUAAGUGAAUAAAUAAAUGAACUCCUUCGACCCCAGGAGCACCCUAGCCCAAACACAACACCCACAUUGCCAUUGCACAGGUUCCUGCUGAAUGGAAAAGGAGGUGCUUGAACUUUAGAGCAAGUAGUCGACAACUCAGGACUCAGCAUUCUGGUCUCUGGUGUCGAGCACUGGCAAAGUCCUCAUUUUUCUUCAAAUUUUACAGCAAGUGUCCUUUUAGUAGGUACCAUUGUAGGUACUGUGGAUACAGAAAUGAAUGUGAUAAAAGAAUUACAUUCCUGUGAAAUUGUAUUUGUGUGUAGGUGGUGAUGGGGAGACAGACAAUAAAAGAGUAAAUAAACAUAAUAAUUUCAUAAAGUGAUGAAUGAGAACUAAAACUAUUAUAGCCACACAGCUUAUGUUCACGGUAAUGUGAUUAAACGAUUUGGUACUCAGCAUUAACAGGACUGCAAUAUUCUGCAAAAGCCGACCCCCAAAAGAUGAGGCUGCAAACAAUGUUCCUGUGUGUGUUAGGAACUUGCUGAAAAUCCAUUUAUCUGAACAGCAGACUCUUCACUAGCCCUCAUCAGGGUAGUCGUCCCCUUCUCUGAACAACCCAACUAGGCUGAAUAUUCUUCAAGUCCUCUCCAAAGCCCACACUUCACUGUGUUGAUCAGUCCUAGACUAUUAGACUAUUAUAUCACAUGCUUUGCACAGUUCCAAUCAGGACUCCACAUUUAAAGACCCACCUUAAACUAGACCCUCAAAACCCUAUCAAUAUUCCACCCUUGACCUCUUCCUUCUAAGAAGCUUCUAUGAUUCCAUCAAAGUAACGGUAUCUCUUACUGCACUAAGCAAUAAAUUUGGCUUUGUGCAAUCAGCAGGCUAUUUCAGUGGUCUGUGUAGGAACCGGCAGUCAACAUGAGUGGUAUGAAGGAGAGAAAGCAGGGCCAUUCAAUCCAUAGUGAUGGAGGUGGGGCUGGCAGUGGUGCUACUUUCAUUGGAAUAAAAAGCCUCUCAAAUGGUAACAUGUGAGCUGAGACUUGAAAGAAGAGAAGGAUCUGGCCUUACUAUAUCCUGGAGGCAAACCUUCCGAGCACUGGGAAUAGUAACAGGAGGAGGGUUGUCAGCAGAGCAAGGAGGUCAGAAGGUGGAGGGCAUAGAUGGAUGCCAGACGAAGAAGUUCAUUACAGGCCAAUGCAAGGGGUUUGGAGUAUAGGCUAAGCGUGAUGUUAAAAACUGGAGGAUUUAAGCAGGAAAGCGGCAUUCCUGCAUCCAUCCAUCUGGUCAGUGAACGUUCCUUGAGAUCCUUCUCUAGGCCCGUGUUCAUGGCUACAAACUGCUCUGGAGAUUGAGCAUCCUGGAGAAAGACACAAAUAGCCAGCACUCCGAAAACCAAUUCCCACACAUUGGAGGAAGUGUGGGAAGGAACCGGUGACCCAGAAGCCACAGAACCAGAGGAGGUGGACCUUCUUUGUCAUGCUUCUGGCUCCCACAUCCUCAGGGUUCCACAUAAGCGUGGUUUGCCUGAUGGAAGCUUCCAGCCUCUGAGGAGCACAAGGCACUACACUAAACCCAGGCCUUGGACUCCCCAUGGGCAGCCGGGUGGGUUACUUUACAUGCUUCAGGACCAAGCACAGUACCUGGCAUCGAGUAAGCGCUCAAUAAAUGUUGGAACUGAGGAUCUGCUUUCUAGGUGUCUAUACUCCACUCAAUUAAAAAGCUGUUUUGAAUUUCGUACAGAGCUACAUAUAUUAUUGAAACAUAAGGUGCCCACGGGUGGCUCACCAGGGUAAGCACCCGACUCUUGAUUUCAGUUCAGGUUAUGAUCUCACAGUUUGUGAGUUCGAGCCCCGUGUCAAGCUUUGUCUGCACUGAUGGCACGGAGCCUUCUUGGGAUUCUCUGUCUCCGUCUCUCUGCCCCUCCCCAACUCCUGCUUUUUUCUCUCUCUCUCAAAAUAAAGAAACUUAAGAAAAAAAACGUGAAAAAAAUGAGGAAGUCAGAGGAAAAGAAUGUGAAGGUAAGGAAAAUAAAAUAAAAUAAAAUAAGGGUUAGAGUAAAUAGUUAACACCCCUAAUGAGUAGCUUUGAAUAGAGGUGAAUUACAAAGUCUUCUGGGCAGCCAAUGAAAAGUGCACAAAGUUCAGCUGGUAGCUUCACAGAAACAGAAUUAGAACAAUAACAAGAAGCCAGGGCCUGAGGAAAGGCCCAGCUCUUUCUAGCACUGGGGCAAAGAAAUUUUUUAAUGAAUCUUCAUAAAGCGAUUUUCUGUGAGAUAGUAGAUAACACGCCCCUAAGACAACACAGUUGUGAGUUUCAAAUAGCUGUUUCUUGAAACACCCCCCCCCCCCCCCCCCGGAACAUUAUCUCGGCAUAUCUGAACAAAACUCCAUCAAGGAGACGGGGCCAUGGAGGAAUUUUGAUCCACGGUGUGCUGGUGAGGACACUUUAGAACAGUAGAGGGAUGGGGGAGGUUGGGGAGCAAGGGAACAUAGAGUUGGGCAGGACCCCACAGUGCUCGAGCUUGGUGGAGACGGGCACGUGCAUACAUCCUGCACACCUCUGGAAAGAGUAACUCAGAAUGCAGGGGACACUGGCCCCUCACGCCCUCCGUGGAGCAACCGUCUACCCUCCUAGAACAAAAUGAGGGGGAGAGAAGCCUCCAGAGAGGAGGGAUUUGUGAUGAGGGGGGAAUCUUCAUGAAGUGUUAUAGUAAACACCUCAUAUUUCAACUCUGUGAAGAAAGCAUCUCCCGGCAGACAAGCUCACAAUAUGUGUUCAGUUUGUGGUGGGGUCGGCCAGGGCCCACUGGCGGCUCCACCAGGGUCCCCCAUUUCCUGGGCCAUAAAAACAUGCUCCUGACUGAUGGCUGACAUACGAGGUGACAGACAAGGAAAUGGUUUCCCUUGGCUGCGUGUGUGUGCCCCAAUUUACAGCUGCCCCGGAAUUAGCAAGGGCGGAUGCUUCCACGGCUGUUAGGUUAAGUAUAAACUCCCAGUCGUUUCUUCAUGGGGGAGGAUACUUGGUUUGGAAAAGAAAAAUCAUGGCGAAAUCAAACAGGAAAAUAAUGUCUCUUUUUAAAAUGGUAUUCUUGAAUGAUUGUAAACACGGUUUAAAUUGGCUGGAUUUUCUACCCAGAUCUGUGUGUGCAGACAUAACCAGGGCUACGCUCUGAUGAUAUCAAGCCCUUGAGGUGAGAGUUUUAUCUUUUUCCCAAGUGCAUAUUGUCUUGUUGGAUCUUGACAUUGCUUGUAGAUGGGAAAAUGGAAGCUUGGUGAAGGUUAAGGGACUUCUCCAAGGCCACACAAGGUGGCCCUUAAAUCCUGUCUCCUGGCUUUCAGGUGAGAGCUAGGAGAUGAUGUUAUGGGGUCACCUGGCCCUGUGCCUGACGCUAGUAGUGGGUGCCCAAUAAACAUUCAUUUCCCCACCUCUUACUAUUUUUCUUCCCCACUUUUCUAUUAAAGAGAUGCUCUUCGAUUGAAGGCUAAGUCUUACCUAUGAUUUCCACUUGGCCCAUAUAUCUGCUUUUCCAUGAGUCCCAAGUGCAAGUGCUCUAAACACGUGUGCUUCAUGAAAUGCCUCAGAAAGCAGUGAGGGGUGUGGAAGGCCGUCAAGCCUCAAAUCUACAAGGUUGCCAUUAAAAUCCCUUCCUGGCCCUCUGACCCAAUCCUGUCGCUAACUGUGUGACCCCAGCCCUGUCACUGUGUCUCUCUUUUCCAUACAACAUUACAAGGGUUUUGUGAAAUGUGCACAUCUGACCUAUCUGAUGCCACAGCCUGCACACUCUGGUGAGGAAUAUGAGGCAAGAAAGACAUCCAUAAAUUCUCAGACAACAAGGUCAAGAAAAUAAAUUCUUUGGGUGAGAAUAAGGGGGUGGUGGAAUUUAUCAGCAUGAUUAUUGUGCUGGAUUUGUACUGAGUUUAGCUUAGAUAGGAAGGUCAAAAACCAUUCACUGUUUGGGAUACCCUAUGUGAUCAGGCUCUUUCAUUAGGCGUAUUUCAGGCUUAGGAAUACAUUUUUAACUUCAUAUUAUGUACGUAUUUGUUUUAAGUGCUAUUGUAGUCAGCGGAGGCGGGGGGAUAGAUGGUGGUGUAGGGCAAAGACACAGUUCCAACAAAUGAGGGCCCUGAAGAGCUUUUUCUCUAGACAGACAUCUCUUGAAGGUCUGCAUGUUGAAUAAACAGACCUAGCUUAGGGAGGGUUUUCUGUUGCUACAAAAGACUGUGGAAGAAAUAUAUCUAUGGCCAUUUUUGUAAUAGCAUAAGAAGAACAAAAAUACCUGUAGUGGUCUCAAGGUGAAAAGGAAAUUGAUCAAGUGUAAGAAAAAGACUAAGCUCCUUUCAAAGGAUCUCAGCAUCAAAGACUUUGAUCCCUGAGACAACUUCUAGCUGGCAAAUUCUCCAAAUAUGAUUACCUCCAAUAUAUGAGCUCAUUUCUCUGUACUUACUCCCAAAUGGUGAACAUCGAUUUGCGACAUUAAUGAAGUAAGUACCCAACUAUCCUUGUUCAUGAGCUAUUACCUCGGUAUUGAUUGUAGACUUAAUUGACAAUUACUUGAGUGGGCUGGGCUAUACUGAGCUUUUAUUAAUUUUCCAUGGUGAUACUCAUUACUAAACUUCAUUGCAAUUGUGUAACAAUGUACACUCCCCCCUGUAGCUCACUGAACUGGAAAAUUCCACUGGCCAUUUCCCAAACCUCUUUAUCCUGGAAAAUAAAGAAUUUUGCUAUUGCUAAAUUUGAUAUCAGGAUUCUAGACCUCGAUUCUGUGGGGAGAGAAUUGGCUGUGAAAAUAAAUAGAAUUUGCUAAAUUAUUUUUUCUUCACUGUUAUUUCAGAGAACAUGUUGUAUCCACGGACUUUAUUCUAUCCCUUGCUUCCUAGAGGGACAAUGAACUCCAUGCUACUGUAAAAUUAUAUUCAUUCUUCUUUCUCCCUUUUCUUUUUUUUUUUUUUAAAUUAAGGGUGUGGAGAAGGCAGCAAGGUAGAGGAGAUUUUGUGGUUUUAGGGAAGAGGAGUUUGGGUUUCUAGGAGUGGUAAAUCACAGGAAGGUAUAUAGAGAAGGGAAACUAAUGGUACAUAAGGUUAUAUAAUAAGGUUUAUUUAUGCAGACGCAUCUCAAUGCCAUCUCUGUCUCCAGUGAUAAGGGCUGUGCUCUCCUUCCUGGGAUGGGAGCAGGAAGCAGAAAACCAUCAGGAAGAAAAAUUUAUGCUCUGUUCUUACGCAGAUCAGUGGAGUGCAGAGAGCCCCCCUUGUGUCUGCCAUCUCUCCAUAGCCUUCAGCUUAAAAUAAUCCUUAUUCCCAAGUGGCAUAUUAGGUGGGACGUUGGGGGGGGGCAAUAUUCUGAUUCCCUUUAAAGGUAAUUCGGAAAUGUGACUUCUGAUACCUGAUUGAGCAGAGCAAUGGUUUUAAUGUGACAUAAAUUGAUUAGAGUUGGAAUUCACUUCAUUAUGAGCUAAUGAAUGGAGACAUUCUUGUAGUUUUCUGGGAGAGUCAGUGCUGCAACAGAGAGGUUUGUCCGUAAAGGAACUGAUGGAUAUUUGGUGUAGCUGUUCUAGAAACAUAACCAGUGAAUAUCCACAAAAUUUUCCGGAAAAAUAUUGAUUGGCAUUCAACAAAUUCAACUCUCAAUUAAUCUGACAAGUGCAGAUUUUGUUUGUUCUGUUUUGUUGACCAUUAUCCACUCAUGAGAAGUCAAUGAUAAGAACUCUAGCUCCUGUUGGAAAGGAUGUUUUGAAAGAGAAAAAUUAACAUAGAUGAGUUUACUUUGAGCACAAUCAUCUUUGCCUUGUAUGAAAGGCUAUGUAAUGUAGUGGAAAAUGCCCUCCACUAGGAAUCAAAAUUCUUAUGGUUUCAUGCUUCUGGACCUCAUUAUAAUAUGGCCUGUAUAACCUCUGAGGCACUUUCUGUGCUCUUAAACGCCACAAACUUGAUCUUGAGACAUUGAGUUCUGGGAAGGUAAAAUAAUGGAAAGAGUACUGUACUGGAAGGCCAGAACAUUGCUUUGAGCUGUUGUUUCCCCAGCCAGCUGUGUGACCUUGGAGAAGUCACUUCAGCUUCCUGUGCCUCACUUUUUUCCUCUGUACCAUGGGGUGCUAGUGACCCAGGUCACAUUCCUCUUCUCAGGUCCUUCAGUUCAACAUGGUAAGCAAUGGCUUCUGUUGUAGUUACUUGGUUUUUUUUUUUUUGGGGGGGGGGGUUGUUUUUGUUUUAAGUUUAUUUAUUUUCAAAGAGAGAGAGAAGGGAGGGUUAAGGGCAGAGAGAGAGGCAGAGAAUGAAUCCCAAGCAGGCUUUGUGCUGUCAACAGAGCCUGAUGCAAGACUCAAUUUCACAUGAGAUCAUGACCUGAGCUGAAAUCAAGAGUUGAACACUUAACCAACUGAGCCAUCCAGGUGCCCCAUGUUGUGGUUAGUUCUGUGCAUAGACUUGGUGAGGCUAUAGUGCCCAAUAAUUUAAUCAAAUGUAAAUCCAGGUUUCAUUGUGAAGAUUAUUUUGUGGAUGUAGUUGACAUCCACAGUCAGUUGACUUUAAGUAAAGGAGAUGAUGCUCAAUAAUGUGGGUGGGUCUUUUCCAAUCCAUUGGAAGUUAAGAACAAAACUGAGGUUUCUUGGAGAAGAAAUGUUCUGCCUCAAGACUGCAGCUUUAAUCCCUGCCUGAGUUUAGGUUUUUCCAGACUGUUCUGUGGAUUUUGGACUUGCCAGCUCCCACAAUCAUCUGAGCCAAUUUCUUAAAAUAAAUCUCUUAGCAUACACACACACACACACACACACACAUAUAUGUGUAUAUAUAUAUAUAUAUAUAUAUACACGUUUAUUUUAUUGGUUCUUUUCUCUGAGGAACACUGAUACAGCUCUCCAGGUGAGACAAUCAAUUUGUGGCCAUCAAAGGAAGAUGCACUGAUAUUUCUUCUACUUACUAUGGUAAGAGUAGGGAUAGAAACAUAGAGCACACGUUACCUCAGUGGCUAUAUUCAGCCCACAAACAUUUUUUCUCGGGCCCACAUAGUUUAUUUCUUUUGAAUUAGUUGACAACAUUUAAACAUGAGAUAUCACUUAAAGUGUGACUUUCUCUUUCUCUUAAGUAACUGGAGAUCUAGCAACCUGAGGCCUGUAUUCUUGCAA